UAUGUCCAUGUUCCAGAUCCUUACCCAGGAAGGAUGGGUAGACGUGAUGGACCAAACUCUAAAUGCUGUGGGACACAUGUGGGCACCCGUGGUUGCCAUCUAUUUCAUUCUCUAUCACCUCUUUGCCACUCUGAUCCUCCUGAGUUUGUUUGUUGCUGUUAUUUUGGACAACUUAGAACUUGAUGAAGAUCUAAAGAAGCUUAAACAAAAAACCUGAUGUGACCUGUCUUCUCUCCUCUUCAUCUUCAUCAGUCAUAUAACUCAUCUGAAAUUGGAACAAUUGUUUGUGCUGAUUAAUAUGGCUGAUCCCACAUUGGAAAGAACCUACAGGAAGGAUAAUAGAGCGAGGGGAAGGAACCAAACAGGCCACUUCAGCCUGUUGGUGGCCACUGCCAGUGCUGCCUUUCUUGU